rnacentral:rRNA from 1 species
GACGAACGCUGGCGGCGUGCCUAACACAUGCAAGUCGAGCGAAUGAAGUUCCUUCGGGAAUGGAUUUAGCGGCGGACGGGUGAGUAACACGUGGGCAACCUGCCUCAUAGAGGGGAAUAGCCUUCCGAAAGGGAGAUUAAUACCGCAUAAGAUUGUAGUAACGCAUGAUACAGCAGGUAAAGGAGCAAUCCGCUAUGAGAUGGGCCCGCGGAGCAUUAGCUAGUUGGUGAGGUAACGGCUCACCAAGGCGACGAUGCGUAGCCGACCUGAGAGGGUGAUCGGCCACAUUGGGGCUGAGACACGGCCCAGACUCCUACGGGAGGCAGCAGUGGGGAAUAUUGCACAAUGGGGGGAACCCUGAUGCAGCAACGCCGCGUGAGUGAUGACGGCCUUCGGGUUGUAAAGCUCUGUCUUCAGGGACGAUAAUGACGGUACCUGAGGAGGAAGCCACGGCUAACUACGUGCCAGCCGCCGCGGUAACAC